AGCCUCCAUAUCCCUUACCCCUCAGAUCUAAACAUUGGUCUCCAUGGCUAUAAAAGGAGGUGGGGGCGGGAGCGAGAGAGAGCAGUCUGUUCUCCUAAAAUGU
rnacentral:snoRNA from 1 species